AAAGGAAUAGACGGGGGCUCACACAAGCGGUGGAGGAUGUGGCUUAAUUCGAGGCUACGCGAAGAACCUUAUCCAGGCCUUGACAUGCACGGAUCAACCCUGUGAAAGCAGGGCCACGCCUUCGGGUGGAACGUGCACAGGUGCUGCAUGGCUGUCGUCAGCUCGUGUCGUGAGAUGUCGGGUUAAGUCCCUUAACGAGCGAAACCCUUAUUGCUAGUUGCCAGCGAGUCAUGUCGGGGACUCUAGCAAGACUGCCGGUGUUAAACCGGAGGAAGGUGGGGAUGACGUCAAGUCCUCAUGGCCUUUAUGGUCUGGGCUGCACACGUCCUACAAUGGCAUAUACAAAGGGAAGCGAACUCGCGAGAGUAAGCAAAUCUCAGAAAGUAUGCCCCAGUUCGGAUUGCAGGCUGCAACUCGCCUGCAUGAAGCCGGAAUCGCUAGUAAUCGCCGGUCAGCAUACGGCGGUGAAUAUGUUCCUGAGCCUUGUACACACCGCCCGU
rnacentral:rRNA from 1 species